rnacentral:rRNA from 1 species
AACAUUUGAUCUCAAAUCAGGUAGGACUACCCGCUGAACUUAAGCAUAUCAAUAAGCGGAGGAAAAGAAACUAACAAGGAUUCCCCUAGUAACUGCGAGUGAAGCGGGAAGAGCUCAAAUUUAAAAUCUGGCGUGCCUAUGGUCGUCCGAGUUGUAGUCUGGAGAAGUGUUUUCCGUGUUGGACCGUGUAUAAGUCUCUUGGAACAGGGCGUCAUAGAGGGUGAGAAUCCCGUCUUUGACACGGACUACCAAUGCUUUGUGAUGCGCUCUCAAAGAGUCGAGUUGUUUGGGAAUGCAGCUCAAAAUGGGUGGUAAAUUCCAUCUAAAGCUAA